rnacentral:rRNA from 1 species
CCUACGGGGGGCAGCAGUGGGGAAUUUUGGACAAUGGGCGAAAGCCUGAUCCAGCAAUGCCGCGUGUGCGAAGAAGGCCUUCGGGUUGUAAAGCACUUUUGUCCGGAAAGAAAUCCGUCUGGCUAAUACCCGGAUGGGAUGACGGUACCGGAAGAAUAAGCACCGGCUAACUACGUGCCAGCAGCCGCGGUAAUACGUAGGGUGCAAGCGUUAAUCGGAAUUACUGGGCGUAAAGAGUUGCGUAGGUGGCAAAGUAAGUUGGUAGUGAAAGCGUCCCGCUCAACGGGAUAUACAUUACCAAAACUGCUUAGCUUGAGUAUGGAAGAGGUAGAUGGAAUUCCCAGUGUAGGAGUGAAAUCCGUAGAUAUUGGGAGGAACACCGAUGGCGUAGGCAGUCUACUGGUCCAUUACUGACACUAAGGCACGAAAGCGUGGGGAGC